ACAUCAUCAUUAUAAUCAUCAUCCUCAAAAUCGUUUUUCUUUAUUAUUAUCCUCAUUAUGAUCACCGCCAUCGCUAUUAUCACUACUAGAAUAACAAAUGCACCUCUGUUCAAUAUGUUAGCAAAAUGGAAAUUAAAAGUAUAUAUACAUCUAGAGCCAAGCAUAUUUUCCAUGAAUAAAGAGGAUUAAUGAUCAGUUGAAGGGGAAGAAAGUGUAAAUCUGCAGAAUUUAUUCAUGGUUUGAGAUAUCAUGUGAAAAUUUAGCUUUGAAAGGAAGCAAUAAAAUUUGCAUUUUUGAAUUUAUACCUAGUUUGACACCCUCUGGGCCAGGACAAGGAACAGAUGCUGUCAAUACAAAUUGCAGCACUUAUGUAAUAUUGUGACAUACAUGAGUGAAUGUAAGCAGCAUUUUUCUCAAAGAUCUUUCCAUCACAAGGCAAUCACUUUUUAGCAGUUGUCCUUCAUCUACAAUAUAUGGCCCUCAUCACCUUAGAAGUUAACAAAAUAUUACUGCACCAUGCUGUUUUCUCAAUCUGAAUGUGUAUCUUAGGUGUAUGAAAUAUUACCUAUUCAUAGAACACUUCCUCUGAAAUUGAAUAUACAUGCACACCAAACCUAUAAUGGGUUAUUAUGAAUACCUCUCUUUUCCUUUGCAGAAAAAAAAAUAAUUAGGAUUUCUAUUUUGGAAAAUAAAAAGCUGCAUUUGUUCAAAAUGUUACCUAAGGUAUCAAACCUGUAUCAUAUAGUAUAUUAUGCUUUUGCGUAUAAUAUUACAUUAUAGUAGGUUAAGCAGAGUAUCAUGCAUGCAUUUUUUCACAGCAUAUAAUUAACGUCUAAAAUAUUUGUUAGGUGAGUGAAUGAAUGUGCUCUACAAGUUAAUAACUCACUUCUGCAGUUUUUGUUAGUGAUUAAAGUAUUUUUUAAAAACAAUUCAGUCUGAGGUGUACUCACAUACAAAAACACCUGAUUCAUUUGAUCUUGCAAAGUAUGGCGUAUUUGCUCAAAGGGUAAGAGUAGUAUGCGCACAAAUUACUUCACUAUCAUCUUAAAUGUAAUUUCUCCGUUUUCAACUGUUUCAAUCCCAUAUCCAAAACAUAAAUGAAAAAUUCUAACCCGAUGUCUAACUCUUUAAUAAGUAAUAGAUACUGAAUUAAAUCAACACAUCUCUAUUUUUUGUGAUUUUCUACCAGUAUUAAUUUUCUUAAAAUUAUACAUUUUAGUAAUAAAUGGAUAGGUAAGUAUGGAGUCAAAUGCUCUCUCCUGAUUUUCAGACAAUUCUUUUGGCUAACAUUAUGAGGAAACGAAACUUUUUUACUCGUGAAAAUAAUUAAUUUGAAACAAUUGAAAUUUAUGAAGUUCACAUUUUAAAUAAAUGUUCAAAUUCCUCAGAGAAAGAACAUUUUCUCUACACCUAAAUUAAGGCUAUUAUCAUCUAACUAUUUCAUUUAUUCACAUAUAUGGGAGUCCCUGAGAAACUGGAGACUGAGUGACGUAUUAAAAAUACGGGUGGAUUCAUUACAGAUUGUUAUACAUUUUGAAAUCUCAUGUAACUUCCUUCAGAAGUUUCAAAACUCAGUGGGCCUGCAUAUGAAAAAUAGGAAUCUUUUAAGUCCUACCUUUUCAUUAUUUCCUUCAUUUUGUCCAUACAGUUUUUCCAGCUAUCACUGACUGGCCUUGAAAAUGAAACACUGAAAAUUCACUAUCUCAAGACAUUCUAAUGAGACUUUGGCCUAAAUUUUUUUAAAAAAGUAUAACCUUCAUAUGAAAGCUCUUAAAAUAAUCCAAAAAGUGUCUAAAUGGUAACUUUCUCAGUAGAAAUUCAAACUUGACUUUGAUGUUCACUAGAAAUAGUAAUCUUUCAUUAUAUACAAUCACCUAGAUCAACUCUCACUCUACAAAUACCAGAGAUGGAAUUAAAAUCUUAUUUCCCAAUUUGUUUUCAUUUAUCUAUGCUGCUUCUAUGUUUGAAUCUUCACAAAUGAAUGCAACUGACCAUGGAGGAUAAGUAAUUUCCUAAAAAUAAGCCAGUAUAGGAUGUAGUGACCAUUUACAGUUAUUUUGGCCACUCAGAAACCGAAUAUCCUUCCAACAUUGUGGAAGUCUCCAGGCAUGUAAAACAAAGUCUCUCUCUCACAAUAGAAGAUAUAAAACUAGAUAUCUGUUUUGCCAAGCCCCCUCGCACCUACGAAUAUACACACACAAAUAACUUGGAUUUAACCAGUCAGCUGUACCCAACCCAGACCUGAAAUUGUAAGCAUAAGCAUAAAAAAAAAAUGUGUAUAUCAUUCUGGCAAUGUUGAGACUAUCAACAUUCAGUUUUUAGACUAACUACAUUCAGUUUUUAGAGGUAGUGAUGCACGACCAUAUUGAGAAGUUUCUAAUGACAUUAAUACAGAAUUCAAAAAAAAAAAAACAAGCAAGCAAAGAACUGAGGCAAUAAUUAACAUUUAGAAAAGCAAAAUGUUGUAUAAGCACAAAAAUAUGUUUAUGCACAUUACGUGGCACAGGGGCAAACAACAACUAUAUAGUCCCAAAAAGCACAUUCAUGAAAAAUACAGAUUUAAGUAAAAAUUGGGAUGCCACUGUAUUACAAACAGGAAGAAUAGGAAAUGGUUAAAAAAAAAAAAAGUUUAGCAUCAUCUCUUACAUUUGGAAAAAAAAAGUCAGAAUUUUCCAAAGAAACAGAACAAAAAUGAUAACAGGAUGAGUAUAUUUGUACACAGAGACAGAUGGAGAGUUGAGAGAGAGGGAGGAGAGAGAGAGAUUGAGAUUUAUUUUUUAAAAGAUUAGCUCACAUAUUGUAGAAGCUUGGCAAGUUCUACAUCUGCAGGGUAGGCCAGUAGCCUAGAGACCCAGGGAAGAACUGCAGUUCAAGUCCAAAUGCAGUCCACCGGCAGAAUUAAUUGUCACAUGGGGAGGUCACUCUUUUUCUAUUAAGGCUUUCAACUGACUGAAUGAGGCUCACCCACAUUAGGGAGGGUGAUCUGCCUUGCUCAAAAUGUACUGAUUUAAAUGCAAGUCUUCUCUGACAAAUACCUUCACAGGAACAUCCAGAAUAAUAUUUGCCCAAGCAUAAAGGAUGAACAUUUUCACUCCGUAUGACUGCUCACGUCAGAAAACCAAUCUAGGUUUGGAAAUUCCUCAUCGUGGGGAUCUCACUGGCCCACAAAGAUCAUCUCUUCUUACACUGAGAAGUCUGUACUCUCUUUCUAUUCUCCUUACAGCUGGACACACUUUUGAACCUGUAAUAUAAAGGAGCAAGAAGCUUUCUCUUUCUCACACUGAGGAUAGUGACCAGAGUUGCAAAGUCAGGUUCUUGAAAUAGAAGUGAGGACAGAAUGAAGUGAAAUAUUCUCAGCCUGCUGGCAGUAGCAGCUGUUCCCUCUUCAGACUAGUUCUAGGCUGUAGUUUGGGGAUUUGCUGCUAGAAACUGCCUUGAGCCUAACCGGCAAGACCUCUUAAUGAAUUUUUAAAACAACCCAAUAUCUGUUUUAUUUAAUCUUCCUUUUUUCUGUGUUUUAAACAAGAAUCAGUUUUUAAGGGGAUGGGCUGAAGUAGAAGUACAGCUGCUGUCAAAGUAAAUUUAAUGGGUGACGAGGAACCAGCUUGCAACAGAGUAGGUAUGUAAGACACUAACGGAACUGCAAUCAAGAGAAGAAACCCAUAAAACCCAAUACGGUCAAGGGCAAGGGAGGAAUGUUUUUGGGGGGCUUGUGCUCAUCUAUUCACAGGAGGAGUGCAGUAUCAUGGGAAAAUCAAGGAUUUUGAAAACAUAUAGGCCUGACUUCUAAGUUCUGACUCAAUUAUUUUUGAAGGCAAGAGGCUUCUCACACACCUUUACACAAAGACAUUAUUAAGACGACAGUUAUUAUUUGAGGAUAACAAAAUCACAAGUGUCAUCUAGACAGGAUUUGUAGAGACAUCAACACGUGUAUUUUUAUUUUCUCCAUGUUCUACAGAAUAUUCCAAUGUGCAGUGGGGCAGGUGCCUCAGUAUGUGUAUGUGUGUUUUCUCUGUUGACUUUCAAUGAGUCAGAUUACCACUACUAUUUCAUUAAGACCUGCCCUGUAUAUAGGUUGACCAUAAAUUGAACAGCUAUAAGUACUUGCAAAAAUAAUAGAAAUUUCCUGUUUCAUGUCUACAUACAUCCUAUAAAAUACUUCAUUUACUUAUGGAAGCUCUCCUUAUAACACGUUUCAAUUAAUUCUACAGUAACUGAAAACAGUUUUGCUGUUAUAAUAUCUUGGUUUUCAUGUUUUAAUGUAAUUUAAAUUUUUUCCAGAUAUUGUUAAGGGAGGAAAUAAACAAUGAAAAGACUAAUGCAAAGUCUGCUACCUACAUGUCCCUGAUAAUAAACCUAUGUGAAUUUCAGUUUUGUCAACUAUAAUAUAGUGGGAUUAGAUAAAAAGAGCUCAAAUAUUCCUUCUUAUAUUAAGAUUCUGUGAAUACAGAUUGAUUUUUUUUUUUUGCCCAGGAUGGUACCAAAACAAAUAUUUCUAUUAUUACAAAUCUAAUAAAAUUUCCCAUUUCUGAAAUUGAGAGUAGCAUUCCAGAAAAACUGAAAAGUCACAAAAUUAUAAGCAUGAAAUUUACGAUGGAAUAAUUUGACACCCAGAAUUGACAUCUUAUAACUGCCACUUUCCAAACAUUAUUUUAUCUUAUAAAUAUACUAAGGAAAUAUUCUGUGACUAUAUGGAGACAUAUGGAGAGAAUUACUCAUUUUCACUAUUUUUUAAUAUGUGGGUAUUUUGGUGGCAACUCGGGCUUAAUUUUAUAUUAGGUGUCCACUCUACAGAAAUGUAAAAUAACAUCUUCACUAGAAAGUAUCAUUUAACAAUUUUAUUUAGACUUUGAAAAAGAGACUUCACAAUCAAACUAACUUAGUUUUAAUACCUAUCUGUGAUUAUGAUAUAACAAUGACUUAAGAUUUUGCUGUAUGGAAAGAGUAAGCUAAAUUUUAUUUAAACAACUAUAUUUUAACUCUUCCAAGGGCAUUAUAUGCAUUAUUCUAUUUUUCUCCCUGACUUAUCUAGGUAAUGCAUAUUAUGCCUAUUUUAUAGAUUAGAAAGCUGGAGUUCUGAAUAAAGAAUCAAGGUGAGCUUGUUAAGAUGAUUUAAUAUACAUUAUUGUUUAAUAUCAGUAACAACCCUUUUAUUUUAUUUUUAUUGAAGUACAGCUUAUUUACAAUGGUAUAUUAGUUCCAGGUAUAUAACAUAGUGAUUCAAUAUUUUUAUAGAUUAUAAUUCAUUUAAAGUUAUUAUAAAAUAUUGGCUGUAUUCCCUGUGCUAUACAAUAUACCCUGUAGCUUUAUAUUUUUUAUAUAUAUGACAGUUUGGACUUCUUAACUCCCUACCCGACUUGCCCCCACCUCCUUCCCUCUCCUCAGUUCUGCUGGUAAUCACUAGUUUAUUUUCUAUAUGAGUGAAAUCUGUUUCUGUUUUGUUAUAUUCAUUCAUUUUUUUAGAUUCCACAUAUAAGUGAUAAUAUACAGUAUUUGUCUGACAUAUCACUAAGCAUAAUACUAUCUAGGUCCAUCUAUGUUGUUGCAAAUGGAAAAAUUUCAUUCUCUUUUAUGGCUGAGUAAUGUUAAAUUGUUUUACACACACACACACACACACACACACACAUGUUCUUUAUCAACUCCUUUGUUGAUGGACACUUAGGUUGCUUUCAUAUCAUGGCAACUGUAAAUAAUGUUGCUAUGAACAUUGGGAUGCAUGUAUCUUUUUUAAAUUAGUGUUUUAAUUUUCUUCAGAUAUAUACCACAGAGUGAAAAAUAAUGGAUUUAGAACACUUUCUCACACCAUAUACAAAAAUAAACUCAAAGUGGAUUAAAGAUCUAAAUGUAAGACUGGAAACCAUAAAAGUCCUAGAAGAAAACACAGGCAUAACACUCUUUGAAAUAAAUUGCAGCGAUAUUUUUUUUUUUGGAUCUAUUUCCUAAGGCAAAGGAAACAAAAGCAAAAAUAAAUGACUAGGACUUAAUUAAACUUAGAAACAUUUACACAGCAAAGAAAACCAUGAACAAAAGUGAAAAGACAACAUACUGAUUGAGAGAAAAUAUUUGCAAAUGAUAUAACUGAAACUGUUAUUAUUCAAAAUAUAUAAACAGAUCAUACAACUCAAACAGCAAAACAAACAACCCAAUUAAAAAAUGGACUGAAUGAAUACCUGAAUUGACAUUUUUUUUUCAAAGAAGAUAUACAGAUGGCCAACAGGCACAUGAAAAAUGCUUGACAUUGUUAACCAUCAUAGAAAUGCAAAUUAAAACCACAUGAGAUAUUGCCUCACACCUGUCAGAAUGGCUAUCAUCAAAAAGUCUACAAAUACCAAAUGUUGGUAAGGAUGUGGAGAAAAGGUAGCUAUUUGUCAGAAUGUACACUGGUGCAGCCAUUGUGGGAAACAUUAUGGAGGUUUCUCAAAAAACUAAAAACAGAAUCACAAGAUCCAGCAAUAAUAAUCCUUUUAUAGCUAGAGGCCACUCUCUCCCUGUUAGAGACAGGAAUAAUGAUAUUUAUAGGGAGGGGAUAAGUAACACACACGAGGUUACUGAACUUGCAGAAGAGUAAAAAGAACAAAAUGAGUAAAAAGCUAGUUCGGUUUAUACUCCAAAUCUUGUUCAUUUUACUCUCUCUUUCCUUCUUACAUCUCUAUUUUUUACAAGACUGGUGAGCAGGAAAAACAAAUUUGAGCUAUAACAGGUACAUGUGUUUGUGUGUAGGUAUACAUGCAUUUAUGUAAGUGUUAAAGAAACUGGAGGGGUUCCAUUGUUAAAAAGUCUAAGACAAGGUUUCUGGCAUCAAAGAGGCUAGACUCCAUACAGGGAGAGCAUUCAUGUAUUAAUACAAAAUUCAAAAAGAUGACAAUGCGGGAGUUCCCUUUGUGGCUCAGCGGUUAACCAACCUGACUAGGAUCCAUGAGGAUCCAGGUUCGAUCCCUGGCCUUGCUCAGUGGGUUAAGGAUCCAGCAUUGCCAUGAGCUGUGGUGAGGCUGCAGAUGGGGUUUGGAUCCUGCAUUGCUGUGGCUGUGGCUGGCAGCUGUAGCUCCGACUCGACCCCUAGCCUGG
rnacentral:lncRNA from 1 species